rnacentral:SRP_RNA from 1 species
GUCGGACGCAGUGGCAUGUGCCUAUAGUCCCAGCUACUUGGGAGGCUGAGGUGGGAGGAUCACUUGAGCCCAGGAGUUCUGGGCCAUAAUGCGCUAUGCCAAUCGGGUGUCCGCACUAAGUUCAGCAUCAAUAUGGCAACCUCCCAGGAGCAGGGGACCACCAGGUUGCCUAAGGAGGGGUGAACCGGCCCACGUCGGAAAUGGAGCAGGUCAAAACUCCUGUGCUGAUCAGUAGUGGGAUAGCGCCUGUGAAUAGCCACUGCACUUCAGCCUGGGCAACAUAGCGAGACCCCGUCUCUA